rnacentral:rRNA from 1 species
UACAGGGGGUGCAAACGUUGCUCGGAAUCAUUGGGCGUAAAGCGCACGUAGGCGGUCUAUUAUGUCGGAUGUGAAAGCCCUUGGCUCAACUGAGGAAGUGCAUCGAAACUGGCAGGCUAGAGUACUAAAGAGGAUCGCGGAAUUCCCGGUGUAGAGGUGAAAUUCGUAGAUAUCGGGAGGAACACCGGUGGCGAAGGCGGCGAUCUGGGUAGAUACUGACGCUGAGGUGCGAAAGCGUGGGGAGCAAACAGG